GGUAUACCAAUUCUAGUUUGUAUCAGAUUUAUUUAAGAUUUCUGGUACCAAAGGGUUUAUUUUUUUCUUUUUUAAAGAAGGGAUCCCGUACGGCCAUAUAACACGUUUGACUUAAACAUUUGUAUAACACUUGCAUUAACCAGUUGCGACAUAUGAAACCUGUCAAUGGAAUUUCUCUCUUAUACACUUAUAGAACAUUUGGACCAG